GGAUGUCGCCUAGAGCCCCCCGGCCGGCCCACAAACUCCCGUCCCCCUUCUGGCUCUGCCUGGACGUCCCUGCGGGCCCCGGGGGAAAGCACCCAACUUCUCCCGCCUCGGCUUCUAGCAGAAACGUGACGGGGCUGGACUUUGAUCGCCGAGGGCUCUCUGCUCUUCAGAGUCUGCUUGGAACGGGAUAAGUGGAACCAAAAUUACAAGGGCCAUGGAUUGUCAAAGGGAAAAGAGCGAGAGCAGAGAGCAUCGAUCCGGUUCAAGACCACCCUCAUGAACACACUCAUGGACGUCCUUCGCCACAGGCCAGGAUGGGUGGAAGUGAAGGACGAAGGGGAGUGGGAUUUCUACUGGUGUGACGUCAGCUGGCUCCGGGAGAACUUCGACCACACCUACAUGGAUGAACAUGUGCGGAUCAGUCACUUCCGGAACCACUAUGAGCUGACCCGGAAGAACUACAUGGUGAAGAACCUGAAGCGGUUCCGGAAGCAGCUGGAGCGUGAGGCAGGAAAGCUGGAGGCAGCCAAGUGCGACUUCUUCCCCAAAACCUUUGAGAUGCCUUGCGAGUACCACCUGUUUGUAGAGGAGUUUCGCAAAAACCCAGGAAUCACCUGGAUCAUGAAGCCUGUAGCCCGGUCUCAAGGGAAAGGCAUCUUCCUCUUCCGUAGGCUGAAGGACAUCAUGGACUGGAGGAAGGACACAAGAAGCUCUGACGACCAGAAAGAUGAUAUUCCUGUGGAGAACUAUGUGGCUCAGCGUUACAUUGAAAAUCCCUACCUGAUAGGAGGCCGCAAGUUUGACCUGCGUGUCUAUGUGCUGGUGAUGUCGUACAUCCCGCUGCGGGCCUGGCUCUACCGGGAUGGCUUUGCCCGAUUCUCCAACACCCGCUUCACACUGAACAGCAUUGAUGACCAGUAUGUUCACCUCACCAACGUGGCUGUGCAAAAAACAUCUCCCGACUACCACCCAAAGAAGGGCUGCAAGUGGAUGCUGCAGCGCUUCCGGCAGUACCUGGCGUCCAAACACGGGCCCGAGGCAGUGGAGACACUCUUCAGGGACAUCGACAACAUCUUUGUCAAAAGCCUGCAGAGUGUGCAGAAGGUGAUCAUCAGUGACAAGCACUGCUUCGAGCUGUACGGCUACGACAUCCUCAUCGACCAGGACCUCAAGCCGUGGCUCCUGGAGGUCAAUGCGUCCCCAUCACUGACAGCCAGCAGCCAGGAAGACUAUGAGCUCAAGACCUGCCUCCUGGAAGACACCCUGCAUGUUGUGGACAUGGAAGCGAGAAGUUUGAGGGCUGAUUCUCCUUGCUGGUAACUGGGACACAUUCCCAUUCCUAAACCACUCACUGUGACUCUGCUUGACCAGGCUCACGGGAAGGGAGAAGCGAGUCGGGGGCUUUGACCUCAUGUGGAAUGAUGGCCCUGUUAGCAGAGAGGAGGGGGCUCCUGACCUGUCGGGAAUGGGAAACUUUGUGACCAACACACACCUCGGCUGUGUCAACGAUCGGAAGAAACAACUGAGGCAGCUCUUCUGCUCCCUUCAAGUUCAGAAGAAAGCUUCCAGUUGAUCCCCAGCUGCCAGGAGGAAAUCAGCCUUAGCAGGCCUUGUGUUUGAGAUUGGGAGCUGAGCCAGAAACCGGAAAACCCUGGGCUCAUGGGCAGGACAGCUUCGGGAGUUGAGUGUCAAGCCCGAAGGGAAGACUUUUGGAAGGAAAAUACUGGCAAAUCCAAGAAGUGAACCAGCCGACUUUAGGAAAGCCAGAAGCCAGGCUACUCUAGACCUUCUGCCUUCAGAGCAUGAGGACUUCUCCCACUCAUCCCUGUACCUGAGGCACGCCAACCCAGACAGGUCCAGG
rnacentral:sRNA from 1 species